rnacentral:rRNA from 3 species
CCCGGUGACCAUAACGAAGAGGCCACACCCGGUCCCAUUCCGAACCCGGAAGUUAAGCUCUUCAGUGCCGAUGAUACUGCUCUGGCAACGGAGUGGGAAAGUAGGUCGUCACCGGGU